GUGCUCGCCUCUAUAGCACAUAUACUAAAACUGGAACAAUACAGAGAAGAUUAGUAUGGCCCCUGCGCAAUGAUGACACACAAAUCUGUGAAGCGUUCCAUAUUUGA
ensembl:snRNA U6 U6 spliceosomal RNA